ACACUUAGUGAUUUGUCGAGAAAACCCACAACACUUCGUUAUAAAUUUACCAAACGGGUGCUAAACUAAAAAAAAAACUGAAUCCGUUGAAUUCCAAAUUUAUUGAUCAGUUCAUCAAUUUAUCGAUUAUAGUCUGUCAAUCAAUCAGUCAGUCCGUCAAUAGGUUAUUACGCAGUCAGUCAAUCAAAAAUAUACACAGACGAACAAAAAACACGUUGCGAAGAGUUUUAUCUCCAUUUCAAUUUUUUUCCUAUACAUGAUUUCUGCGUUUAUUUUACAGCAAGCAUUUGCCCUCACUGCGCGUCGCUGGGUCCUGGAUGCUACUGUAACUAUAGGCACAAUUAUUGCCUUGCUUGGCUUUGUGGUACCAGCGGACAAUGCGAUGAUAAUAACUGCAUUAAGAGCUAGGUGGCAUUUACGUGGAGAGUUUCAGCCUGAUUUCAAUUCCCUUAUGAGAGGGAAUCGCACUUAGCACCAGCGUGAUUGUAAUCAGAAUUUGCUUCCAUUUCUUGAUUUUUGUUGGUUUGUUUGAUGGCUGUAGAUGUAGAGAAUUUCAAUGAAGAACAUUAAAAGUGUGUCAUUGCAAUGAA